rnacentral:tRNA from 1 species
GCCAAGGUGGCUUAGUGGCUGACACACCUGCCUAGUAAGCAGGAGACCCAGGUUCAAUUCCUGGCCUUGGUA